rnacentral:rRNA from 1 species
CCUACGGGAGGCAGCAGUGGGGAAUAUUGCGCAAUGGGGGCAACCCUGACGCAGCCAUGCCGCGUGAAUGAAGAAGGCCUUCGGGUUGUAAAGUUCUUUCGGUAGCGAGGAAGGCAUUUAGUUUAAUAGACUAGAUGAUUGACGUUAACUACAGAAGAAGCACCGGCUAACUCCGUGCCAGCAGCCGCGGUAAUACGGAGGGUGCGAGCGUUAAUCGGAAUAACUGGGCGUAAAGGGCACGCAGGCGGACUUUUAAGUGAGGUGUGAAAGCCCCGGGCUUAACCUGGGAAUUGCAUUUCAGACUGGGAGUCUAGAGUACUUUAGGGAGGGGUAGAAUUCCACGUGUAGCGGUGAAAUGCGUAGAGAUGUGGAGGAAUACCGAAGGCGAAGGCAGCCCCUUGGGAAUGUACUGACGCUCAUGUGCGAAAGCGUGGGGAGCAAACAGGAUUAGAUACCCUGGUAGUC